rnacentral:guide_RNA from 1 species
AACAACCAUACAGAAAUCGUAUAUGUGAGAGAAGUGAUAUU